CUCAUUAUUGCUUCUAAUUAAUGCCCAGUCAAAGACAGCCGAACCUUGUCUAUUCAUCUGAAAAUCUAAUUACUUUUCUUUGCUUUUGACGGUUCAGUUUUAUGGAAAGGUGUUCUUCAAAACUGAUGCCUCUGCUCAUUUGCUUUCCUCUUAUGUAUUUCUUUUUCAUUUCCUCCUCAGUCUGGUUCCUUUCUCUGGUUGAUUUGUUGUUGUUUCUCAGCAUAUUCUGGGACCGUCAUUUCUAGGUAUAACUCUUCUUUCCUUUUUAACGAUUCUGUUGCCACUAUAUGCGCGAGAGCGUUUUUCGAUCUUGGUGUAAACUUGAACAUGACACUCCUAGAUCUGUUUAGUAUCUGCUUGAUAUCGUGAAUAUAUGCUCCAAUACAUGAUCGAUCUUGAUUUUCUGACAAACAUUUCUUUAUUGUUGUGAGGGAAUCUCCUUCUAUGAUAAUCAUCGGCCAUUCUUGUUCUACUCCUAUUUGAACAGCUUUUCGACACGCGAUUGCUUCAGCAACAUAGGCUGACGUUACAUCGUGAUGAAUCUCUGAGCAGGUGAGUAAAACGAUUCCUUCAAUGUUUCUAGCUACAACUCCUGAGGCAGAUUGUUGAUGAGUCGAAUCAUAGGCACCAUCAAAAUUAAUUUUGACGAACUCGCUAGGUGGCUGAGUCCAUCUUUUAUGUUCCUAUUCUCUUACUGACUUUGCCUUUUCAAGACCAUAAAGUUCAGCAAGGUAGUUAUUGAUGAAAUUCACUGUUUCUUGCCCUGUGCUGGUUUUUUUCUCAUGUACUCUUUUGUUUUUUUCACCCCAGAUAGCCCGAAGGCCACAACAGAAGAGUCUGUUUUGGUACGUAUUAAGCUAACCAGAGGUCCAGGUAAUCCAUUGUAUAAAAUCCAUGUCUGGAUUCUUGAGAAUAUUCUGAAGUUUUAAUAGUGCCCAAACUUCCAUUGUGACAGGGCACAUUCUGAAGAUAUGAUCGGUUGUUUCAUUCCUUUCUCCACAUCGGGGACAGUCUGUGUUACUAAUUAGUUUCCGAUGUUGCAUAUUCACCUUCGUAGGCAGAUAGUUCCAGGCAAUUCUCCAUAUUGUAAUCUUUAUUUUGGUCGGUAAAUUUAGUCGCCAUAAUUUUUUGUAAAAAUCCCCAUAGUUGGUUUGUAAAGCAUAAGCUCUAGGAAAUUCAUCAAAAAUUUGUAAUAGUUUAUACGCGCUGCGUACCGAGAAUUCCCCCGAAUAAUCACCUCCCCACACAAACAGAUCGUCAUGAGGUGUGCAUGCUAAAGGUAUCCGAAGAAUUUUUUCAGCAUCGACCGUUGAAAAG
rnacentral:lncRNA from 1 species